rnacentral:rRNA from 1 species
AGUGAACGCUGGCGGUAGGCCUAACACAUGCAAGUCGAGCGGCAGCACAGUAAGAGCUUGCUCUUACGGGUGGCGAGUGGCGGACGGGUGAGGAAUACAUCGGAAUCUACUUUUUCGUGGGGGAUAACGUAGGGAAACUUACGCUAAUACCGCAUACGACCUACGGGUGAAAGUAGGGGAUCUUCGGACCUUGCGCGAUUGAAUGAGCCGAUGUCGGAUUAGCUAGUUGGCGGGGUAAAGGCCCACCAAGGCGACGAUCCGUAGCUGGUCUGAGAGGAUGAUCAGCCACACUGGAACUGAGACACGGUCCAGACUCCUACGGGAGGCAGCAGUGGGGAAUAUUGGACAAAGGGCGCAAGCCUGAUCCAGCCAUACCGCGUGGGUGAAGAAGGCCUUCGGGUUGUAAAGCCCUUUUGUUGGGAAAGAAAAGCAGCAGGUUAAUACCCCGCUGUUCUGACGGUACCCAAAGAAUAAGCACCGGCUAACUUCGUG